GAUGAAGAACACAGCGAAAUGCGAUAAGUAGUGUGAAUUGCAGAAUUCAGUGAAUCAUCGAAUCUUUGAACGCACAUUGCGCCUUCUAGUAUUCUGGGAGGCAUGCCUGUUUGAGCGUCAUUAAACCUCUCUCAAGUAUGAUUACUUGGAUGUGAAGGAAGAGUACCUUAAACUUAAGGAGUGUUCUCCUUUGAAAUUGAUUAGCAGAUGGUAAUGUUAUUAAAUCCCUGAUGUUGUAAGAAAUAACAGUGGUUUUGUAGACUAUUAUCUAGCUUUAAAUUAUAAUUUUUAUUAUGGUUGACCUCAAAUCAGGUAAGGAUACCCGCUGAACUUAAGCAUAUCAAUAAGCGGAGGA
rnacentral:misc_RNA from 1 species